rnacentral:snRNA from 1 species
AACCAAUUAACUCUAACGU